UGUAAAGCCUGAAGUACACCAGAAAGUGCGUGUCAAAUUAGCCUUUUCCCAAAAGAGAUCACAGUGCAUUCUGGGAUCGUUUGGAGGGACAAAAUAUAUGGAAACAGGCGCCAUAGAAGUAUCUAUUAUCAAAUAUCAACCUUUUAGACCUCGUUUUAAACGACCCAGGACUUACAUAUUUCAAUAAUUAACAGUUUUUGUUGCAAGCCAAUAAAAGAUCGACUCGCAAUUAUCAUAUAACUCAAAUAUAAAAACACAAGCUGAUGUACUGUUCAAUUAUUAGUAGCCCUUUCCAGGACAUAUUAUCUAAUAAUUGGGUUAGAGUAUACUGUAUCUACAGGGCCGUAGCAACCGGGGGGGGCUGGGGGGGCUGCAGCCCCCCAAUAAUUUGCUAAUAAUCAUUCUUUUUUCAAAAUCAUGCAAACUUUAUCAUUUAAUCUGUGACAAACUGCAAAGAAUGAAGAUAUUAC